GUCCACGCCGUAAACGAUGCAUGCUGGCUGUCGGAGGUAUUCACCCCCUCGGUAGCGAAGCUAACGCGUUAAGCAUGCCGCCUGGGGAGUACGGCCGCAAGGUUGAAACUCAAAGGAAUUGACGGGGGCCCGCACAAGCGGUGGAGUAUGUGGUUUAAUUCGACGCAACGCGCAGAACCUUACCCAGCCUUGACAUCCAAAGAACCUUGUAGAAAUACAGGGGUGCCCUGGCAACAGGGAGCUUUGAGACAGGUGCUGCAUGGCUGUCGU
rnacentral:rRNA from 1 species